AGUAAAUGCAGAAAGGUUGCUAGAAGCAUAGUGAUUUCAUAGUAAUUUCAGCUAAUAAUCCAGUGUUUUUGAACUAGAUCCAGUGUUGUUUGAUAACAUAAUAAUUGUAAAGGAAAGUGUAACACGUUUUGGUGCAAAGAUUACAAAAUGAGUAAAAUCAGAUGUAUUCGUCCAUUCAAAGACAUUCAGUGUUCGAAAGAGCUGCGAUAUCUCACGGAUGGUAUCAUCCAAAAACUAAAGUCAAUUGGAUUUUCCAAGGUAUCCACACUGAACACCAAGGAUUUUCGUAUUUGUUCGUCUUGCCGUCUACAUAUUGAUUCAAGAGCUCACCUCACCCAAAACGAAGAACAAAGCGUAGCCGGUGGCUCAAGGAUGCCAACUGUUCAGACCAUACCUGUUGUACAUGAUUCGAAAGUUUGGUCACGAUACCAUCAGCGUCAACGCUAGGCACAAUUCAAUCAAAUGAAGACUUCACGAUGCCUGUAGACGUCGAAAUAUUCAACCGAGGAAUAGCAGCUAUUCGUGUUUCGCCUAUAGAUUUAGGUAAGGUUAAAAAUGUUCACUAUCCUGAAAAAAAGUGCGCUGAAAUCGUCGAAGGUGUACGAAGAAAUCUUUUUAAAUUAGACGCUAAAACAGAAAAAGCAAACGAGUUUAAUGAAGUCAUAGAAAAUAUGAAAAUUACAUUUUUAAAUUCAGCCACAAGGCAAGAAAAACUAUCAAUUUUAUCAUUGUUACCAAAAUCAUGGUCAGUACAAAAAAUUGUAGACGAAUUUAAAACUAGUAGAAAUAUGGCAUCAGAUGCAAGAAAGGAAAAAAAUAAUGUAUUAGAUUCAUCUCAAGGUUCAAGCUCUGGAAAAGCUUUGAGUAAUGAAACAAAAGAACUGGUUUUGAAUUUUUUUGAGGACGAUGAUAUAAGCCGUGCAAUGCCAGGCCAAAGAGAUUUUGUUAGCGUAAAGACAGGAAAUAAGAGAUUAGCUGUUCAGAAAAGAUUGUUAAUGAUGACAUUAAGAGAAGCUUUUAAUCGCUUUAAUGAAGUGUACGUCAAUGUAAAAAUAGGGUUUUCAUCAUUUGCAAGCCUCCGGCCAAGGCAAUGUAAACUAUUGACUAUCACAGGAACACAUAAUGUUUGCGUUUGCACUACGCAUGAAAAUGUCAAUUUAAUUCUACAUAGCUUAAAAAAAUACAAUGUCUUGAAUGAUCUAAAAACAUUAACGAA